rnacentral:rRNA from 1 species
GUAAGGAAUAUUGGUCAAUGGACGCAAGUCUGAACCAGCCAUGCCGCGUGAAGGAUGAAGGUCCUCUGGAUUGUAAACUUCUUUUAUCUGGGACGAAAACAGGAUUUUUAUCUCAAUUGACGGUACCAGAGGAAUAAGCACCGGCUAACUCCGUGCCAGCAGCCGCGGUAAUACGGAGGGUGCGAGCGUUAUCCGGAUUUACUGGGUUUAAAGGGUGCGUAGGUGGGCUUAUAAGUCAGUGGUGAAAUCUCCGAGCUUAACUUGGAAACUGCUGUUGNUACUAUAGGUCUUGAAUUAUCUGGAGGUAAGCGGAAUAUGUCAUGUAGCGGUGAAAUGCUUAGAUAUGACAUAGAACACCAAUUGCGAAGGCAGCUUACUACAUAUAAAUUGACGCUGAGGCACGAAAGCGUGGGGAUCAAACA